UGCGAUAUACAGAAUGGACGAAUCUGUCAAAACAUGGACAUAGACUAUAAGAUAUUAUAUAGAUGCAUUAUUUCGAAUAAUUUCGAUAAAACAAUUAAAGGCUGUCUCCAAUUAAUGACUCAAUAGCGCGAUAUGACUUAAUGAUUUUUAACGUAUGAGCGAAAAGUGGAAAGAUCCAACAAGCCAACGGAAAGAAACCAAAAAAGCACAUGUACAUUUAAAGAAAUGUCAGCAAAACUAUAUUUCAUUGGGGAUUUAUUCCUGCUAUAUUAUUUUUAGGAUUUAGAAAAGGUGCUGAUCCAGGCAUGCCUCAAUUAUCAAUUACAAACUUAUUAUGGCAAUAAAAAAUAGCUACUUUGAAAUUA